rnacentral:tRNA from 2 species
GCCGAAGUGGUGAAAUUGGUAGACACGCUAUCUUGAGGGGGUAGUGACGCAAGUCGUGCCGGUUCGAGUCCGGCCUUCGGCACCA